rnacentral:rRNA from 1 species
UACGUAGGGCGCGAGCGUUGUCCGGAAUUAUUGGGCGUAAAGAGCUCGUAGGCGGUUUGUUGCGUCGGAUGUGAAAGCCCGGGGCUUAACCCCGGGUCUGCAUUCGAUACGGGCAGACUGGAGUGUGGUAGGGGAGAUCGGAAUUCCUGGUGUAGCGGUGAAAUGCGCAGAUAUCAGGAGGAACACCGGUGGCGAAGGCGGAUCUCUGGGCCAGUACUGACGCUGAGGAGCGAAAGCGUGGGGAGCGAACAGG